GACGAACGCUGGCGGCGUGCUUAACACAUGCAAGUCGAACGGAAAGGCCCUGCUUUUGUGGGGUGCUCGAGUGGCGAACGGGUGAGUAACACGUGAGUAACCUGCCCUUGACUUUGGGAUAACUUCAGGAAACUGGGGCUAAUACCGGAUAGGAGCUCCUGCUGCAUGGUGGGGGUUGGAAAGUUUCGGCGGUUGGGGAUGGACUCGCGGCUUAUCAGCUUGUUGGUGGGGUAGUGGCUUACCAAGGCUUUGACGGGUAGCCGGCCUGAGAGGGUGACCGGCCACAUUGGGACGGAGAUACGGCCCAGACUCCUACGGGAGGCAGCAGUGGGGAAUAUUGCACAAUGGGCGGAAGCCGGAUGCAGCAACGCCGCGUGCGGGAUGACGGCCUUCGGGUUGUAAACCGCUUUCGCCUGUGACGAAGCGUGAGUGACGGUAAUGGGGAAAGAAGCACCGGCUAACUACGU
rnacentral:rRNA from 1 species